AAAGACUUAGUCCUAACCUUACCGUUAAUUCCCCNGCUCGACAUAUACAUGCAAGUAUCCGCACGCCAGUGCAAACGCCCCUGGCCUCUUACCAAGACAAAAGGAGCAGGUAUCAGGCACGCCNNCGCAAUGCAGCCCAAGACGCCUCGCCUAGCCACACCCCCACGGGUACUCAGCAGUAGUUAACAUUAAGCAAUAGGCGAAAGCCUGACUUAGUCAGAGCAGCCAGGGUCGGUAAACCUUGUGCCAGCCACCGCGGUCAUACAAGAGACCCAAAUUAACCGUACACGGCGUAAAGAGUGGGCCUCAACUAUCANNCCAGUCGACUAAGAUGAAACUACAAUCCAAGCUGUCAUAAGCCUAGGACCUUCAGGAAGCCUCUCCAAAACUUAUCUUAGCGCCCAUGAUCCAUCUACCCCACGAAAGCCGGGAUACAAACUGGGAUUAGAUACCCCACUAUGCCCGGCCCUAAAUCUUGAUGCUUACCACACANNUAAACCAUCCGCCCGAGAACUACGAGCAUAAACGCUUAAAACUCUAAGGACUUGGCGGUGCCCUAAACCCGCCUAGAGGAGCCUGUUCUAUAAUCGAUAACCCACGAUACACCCGACCCCUCCUUGCCAAAACAGCCUACAUACCGCCGUCGCCAGCUCACCUCUAUGAAAGCACAGCAGUGAGCCCAAUAGUCCAUAAUCACUAACAAGACAGGUCAAGGUAUAGCUUAUGGAGUGGAAGAAAUGGGCUACAUUUUCUAAAAUAGACAAACCNNNCAACGGAAAGAGGCCUGAAACCCGCCNNUCUAGAAGGUGGAUUUAGCAGUAAAGAGGGACAAUAGCGCCCUCUUUAAGUCGGCUCUAGGGCACGUACACACCGCCCGUCACCCUCUUCGCAAGCCACCCAAACACUAACUAAAGCACCAAACCGCUGAAGAUGAGGUAAGUCGUAACAAGGUAAGUGUACCGGAAGGUGCACUUAGCAUAC
rnacentral:ncRNA from 1 species